GAUGAACGCUGACAGAAUGCUUAACACAUGCAAGUCAACUUGAACUUCGGUUUGGGUGGCGGACGGGUGAGUAACGUGUAAAGAACUUGCCUCACAGAUAGGGACAACAUUUGGAAACGAAUGCUAAUACCUGAUAUUAUGAUUAUAUGGCAUCGUAUAAUUAUGAAAGCUAUAUGCGCUGUGAGAGAGCUUUGCGUCCCAUUAGCUAGUUGGAGAGGUAACGGCUCACCAAGGCGAUGAUGGGUAGCCGGCCUGAGAGGGUGAUCGGCCACAAGGGGACUGAGACACGGCCCUUACUCCUACGGGAGGCAGCAGUGGGGAAUAUUGGACAAUGGACCAAGAGUCUGAUCCAGCAAUUCUGUGUGCACGAUGAAGUUUUUCGGAAUGUAAAGUGCUUUCAGUUGGGAAGAAAAAAAUGACGGUACCAACAGAAGAAGUGACGGCUAAAUACGUG
rnacentral:rRNA from 1 species